UCGUUCAUACUGCGUCUAAUGCGCCGGAUCCCAUCUGAACUCCGAAGUUAAGCGGCGCAAGGCCCGGUUAGGGACUCCGCGGGAAUCCCUUUGGGUGAUGACGGCCU
rnacentral:rRNA from 1 species